rnacentral:rRNA from 1 species
ACUACGGGUGGCAGCAGUGGGGAAUAUUGGACAAUGGGCGAAAGCCUGAUCCAGCCAUGCCGCGUGUGUGAAGAAGGCCUUCGGGUUGUAAAGCACUUUCAGUGGGGAAGAAAGCCUUGGGGCUAAUACCCUCGAGGAAGGACAUCACCCACAGAAGAAGCACCGGCUAACUCCGUGCCAGCAGCCGCGGUAAUACGGAGGGUACGAGCGUUAAUCGGAAUUACUGGGCGUAAAGCGCGCGUAGGCGGUCUGAUAAGCCGGUUGUGAAAGCCCCGGGCUCAACCUGGGAACGGCAUCCGGAACUGUCAGGCUAGAGGGCAGGAGAGGAAGGUAGAAUUCCCGGUGUAGCGGUGAAAUGCGUAGAGAUCGGGAGGAAUACCAGUGGCGAAGGCGGCCUUCUGGACUGACACUGACGCUGAGGUGCGAAAGCGUGGGUAGCAAACAGGAUUAGAUACCCUGGUAGUC